UUAUAUUCCUGGAAUGAGAAUCACCAAGACUUCAAAGGGAAGGGACGUGAUGAUUGAACAUGAUGGUAUACUUGCUACAAUAUCUGGCAGUUCUAGAAAACCAAUAAAUGCUGGCAAGAAAUCAAACAAGCAUCAGACAGAUUGACAAGACAAAAAGCCAAAGAGAAGUUUAAUAAUAGCAUGUAUACCUCCUGUCUAUGCCGAGAGAACCAGCAUGACUGAGAACUCACAGCCGUGGAUUCAGACACCAUCUUAAAUAACUGAAAUAAGACAGGAGGCUGGAGAAUGAAAAGAAAGAGAAAGAAAUAUAGUUCAGGGCCUGUCAAGGUAGAGGCACCUCGUCAAACACUCGAGAUCUUCAAUCAAGACCCUAAAGGACACCCUGUAGGAAUAAAGCCUCCAGUGGGAUCAUCACGGGAGCCGCACCUUGUUGUCUGUGCUGUGGACUCACACCUGUUCUUAAGUCACAGAGACAUCACUAACACUCGGACACACAGCCCCCUGCAUCCCCUUAGACUUCAGAGCCCCAGCCUGUGCCAAAAAUCUGGCAGGUAUCCUCCUGCUCUCAGAGCUGCUGCCUCUGCCACAGACUCACCUACUGCUGUAGCUGUGGGGGCUGACACUGAGCCUGUUGGGACACCCAGAAGUUCCUGUCCAGCAGUUGGGUGCUGAGCGUCCA